rnacentral:rRNA from 1 species
UACGAAGGGGGCUAGCGUUGUUCGGAAUUACUGGGCGUAAAGCGCACGUAGGCGGAUUUUUAAGUCGGAGGUGAAAUCCCUGGGCUCAACCCAGGAACUGCCUUCGAUACUGGAAGUCUUGAGUAUGGUAGAGGUUAGUGGAAUUCCAAGUGUAGAGGUGAAAUUCGUAGAUAUUUGGAAGAACAUCAGUGGCGAAGGCGGCUAACUGGACCAUUACUGACGCUGAGGUGCGAAAGCGUGGGGAGCAAACAGG